rnacentral:rRNA from 1 species
AUGGCGAUCGUAAGGACCGGCGGCGCCAGGGUCCAGCGGCUGGAGUCCGGCGGGGAGGACGGCUCCACGGAGGACGAGGAGGAGCGCUCGCCCGCCACGGUCUCGGAGGGGUCCGAGGCGGAGGGGUUCUCGGCCCAGGAGGAGAAUGGCGGCGGCGGCCAGGAGGAGGAGGAGGACGACUCCGGGAUGGGGUCUGACGAGCUUGAGAUCACGCAGCUCGGGGAGGCGGGGGCGGAGAUGUGCCAGGUCGGGGACCAGAGCGUGGCCCUGCCGCUGGAGCUCUACGACCUCCCUGGCCUCGGCGGCGUCAUCUCGCUGGACGCCUGGAACGGCCUGCUCUCCGAGGACGACCGUCUCCGCCUCGCCGCCUUCCUGCCCGACCUGGACCAGGAGACGUUCGCCCGCACGCUCGUCGAGCUCCUCAGGGGGGACAACUUCCACUUCGGGAGCCCCCUGGCCGCCCUGUUCGACCGCCUCAAGGGCGGCCUCUGCGACCCCAGGAUCGUCCUGUACCGCCGUGGUGCCCGCUUUGCGGAACGGCGCAAGCAUUACUACCAUCUGCAGAGGUACCACAAUACGAUGGUGCUGGGGCUGUGGGACACCAAGGACUGCUGGAAGAGCUGCAACGGGUACAGCCUUGGUGAGAGGCUGAGAGCCAUGGAUGCAAUGAAGGCACAGCGGAAGCAGAAGGAACUGGGUUUGGUUGCCCGGGCUGGGUCAGAGACUGACUCAGAGAGCAGGGGGUCUGCGGAACAGUUCUUGACACGGUCGAAGCCAGAUAAGAUGGGUCUCAACAAGGCUGGGAAGUUAGGGAAGGAAAGGUCCAAGGGCGUUCUGCGGUUGGGUGUGUCAAAAGGCGUGGGUGAGGAGUACAUUGGAGGGUCUGGCCGUGAUGCUGCAGGGGCUCUCUCUAAGCUUUCUCGUCCAGAUAAUGCUUAUGGGUAUGAUGCCGGAGUCGCGCAUAGAGGGAAGCUGCACAGAAGCAUAGAUGGCCUUCAUUCUGAGGACCUGGGAUAUGACAGGAAUUUGCCCAGGAUCCGGUCUCAGAGACCUCUGAUGAAGCCAGUGAAGAAGGAAUUGGCCACGGGCUAUGAUAUCAAUCCUUAUGGAAACAACUACCAUGAUAGCCAGACUGGUUCUUCUUACUACCAUGGCAGGAAUGCCAUUGGUAAUCAGGGAGUUACCUUAGCAGCAUCAUUUGACCCUCCAUAUUCUGAGAAUGCAAGGAGUGCAAAAUACUCGGAGAGAGAUCGGAUAUAUGGUGGAAAAGCUGCCCAGAAUAAAGCUCCCAAAGUGGAAGAGAGGGAUUGGCCAGCUGGUAGCCAUGCUGAUCUCUUAAGUGACUGGCAGAGAGGGCAGCCUGAAGGCGAUUACAGGAGCAGGAAGUCUCAAGUUGGUCAUGGUGUGAAGGUUAAGUCCUACAAAAGUAUUGAGCAGCAGAUAAAUGGUGCACAUUCUGGAUCUGAUCCUAGAGGCAGGAUAUCACAGGUUAAGAUUAAUGUUAAAUCCAAUAGUCAGCAUGGUAGGAUUGGCCAGAAGGACUCCAGGAGCAAAGCUGCCCAUGUUCAGAGUGAGGAGACAGAAUCUGAUUCAUCAGAACGGUUUGAAGAUGGGGCAGAUAUGAAUCUUGUUGAAGAACAGCCAAACCUUCAAUAUUCUGAACUUCAUAUACCAGCAUAUGGUGCCAAAAGUUCAAACAAACUUAGCAAAUCAGUCAAAACAAAUUAUCCUGCCCCUACUGCAGAUUUCGAACCCUACCAGACUCAGAGCAAGCGGUCACACAGAGGAAAGGUUGCAGAGCCUGAUUAUUUACGCGAUGUGCAUGUGGAGGUGGCGGAACAGAUUAGUGAAGUGAUGAGACCCCCAGCAGCAAGGAGUGAAAGAAAGCGCAAGGGAAUUGCAAACCUGGACAUGCAUGGUUAUGACAACUCUGAAUUGCAUGAUAGCAACGAGAAAGCCAGUGAAUCACUGAGGUCACCAGAGAGUGAUAGGCUGGCCAGUAGAGCAGGCUAUGCAGUCCAAGAUUCUAAUGGCGACUUUGAUGUUUCUGAAAGAGCGAAAAUGCCGCUGGCAAGUUGCAGCUCUGGGUCCAAAAGGCAAAAAGGAAGAGUUGAACUUACAAACCUGGACGAGCAUGGCGAGUAUGCACCAUCUGGUCCAAAGGUGGUAGAGAUCAGUGGCAGCUCGAAGAAGAAAAGUAAAAAGAAGCCAGAUACUGUUACAGAUGCAAUUACUGUAGCAGAACCAGCUCCUGUCGUGCCAGAGGUUAUUGUGGUGCCAGUAGAACCUGAGAAACCUAAGAAGAAGUAUGUACCAAUUACACCAACUAUCCAUACUGGCUUUUCUUUCUCCAUCGUACAUCUUCUAACCGCCGUUAAGAAGGCUAUGGUCGCUCCGGCUGAGGAUACUCCAGUGGCAGCCACGGUCACUCCUACUGAGGCUACUCCAGUGGCAGCUACGGUCACUCCUACCGAGGUUACUCCAGUGGUAGCGAAGCAGCCUGAUGGGGAGGAGAACAGAAAAUGGUUCAAUAGUGAGGAACCUGGCAAAACGCCUCAAGAGCCAAGUGCAGCAGAGCAAGCACAAGAUACCAGUGCUGCAGAGCAGACCGUGCAGAGCAAUUCACCGGCAUUAACUGUUCAAGAUCUUGUUCAUCGGAUUAAAACUAAUCCUGGAGAUCCCAACAUACUUGAAACACAGGAGCCCCUGCAGGAUUUAGUUCGAGGAGUGCUCAAGGUACUGUCAUCUAGAACAGCUCCUCUAGGUGCAAAGGGCUGGAGAGCGCUAGUUGCCUAUGACAAGUCGAACAAAAGCUGGUUUUGGGUUGGUCCACUGCCUUCUGCCACCUCAUAUAGUGAUCCUAAUGAAGAAACUUCUGCUGAGGCAUGGGGUAUACCACACAAGAUGCUUGUGAAGUUGGUCGAUGCAUUUGCUAAUUGGCUGAAAAGUGGUCAGGAAACCCUUAAGCAAAUAGGAUCCCUUCCACCACCUCCAGCACCAAAUCCUGCAAACUUGGAUUUGAAGGAAAGAUUUAAGGACCUUAGGGCCCAGAAAAGUCUGAACACAAUAAGCCCAAGCUCUGACGAAGCAAGGGCAUAUUUCCAGCGUGAGGAGUUUUUGAGAUACUCAAUUCCUGAUAGAGCAUUUUGCUAUACUGCUGCUGAUGGGGAGAAAUCUAUUGUUGCUCCUUUGCGAAGGGGAGGUGGAAAGCCCACGUCAAAAGCUAGGGGACAUCCCAUGCUCUUGCCUGAUCGCCCUCCGCAUGUUACUAUUCUCUGUCUUGUAAGAGAUGCUGCUUCUAGGUUGCCUGGAAGAACUGGAACAAGAGCUGAUGUUUGCACACUUCUCAAAGAUUCACAGUACCUAAAUCAUGCAGAAUCCAAUAAAGAGGCUGCUGUUAAUCAAGUUGUCAGUGGCGCUCUUGAUCGCUUGCAUUAUGAGCGUGAUCCUUGUGUGCUGUAUGAUAAUGACAAAAAAUUGUGGACCUAUCUGCACAGGGGUAGAGAGGAGGAAGAUUUUGAGGAUGAUGGCACAUCAUCUACGAAAAAGUGGAAGAGACCAAGGAAAGAUUCAGAUCCCGCAGACCCUGGUGCAGGAAACGAUGAUCCUGAGGAUGAUGGCACCCCUAACGCAAAAAAACAAAAGAAAGCUGAUGCAGACCCUACAGCGUCAGGAGAAGACAAGGAUGGUGUUCAGGAUCCAUCUAACAGUGGGCUGGAAGGUGACCUUGAGGUUGAUGUUGUUCCAUCAUCAACAAAUGACAAAGAAACCAGCAAGCUUGUUUCUGCUGAUGCAAGGCCAGAUAUUGGUAGCUCCAGACCUUCAGUAGAUGCAGCAGCAAGGGUGACAGCUGAUGCAAGGCCAGAUAUUGGUAGCUCCAGACCUUCAGUAGAUGCAGCAGCAAGGGUGACAGCUGAUGCAAGGCCAGAUAUUGGUAGCUCCAGACCUUCAGUAGAUGCAGCAGCAAGGGGGGCAGCUGAUGCAAGGCCAGAUAUUGGUAGCUCCAGACCUUCAGUAGAUGCAGCAGCAGCAAGGGGGAUAGCUGAUGGCAAUUCAUCAAGAGCCCCAGAAAAGAAGCACAAUAUGGCACUCCCUGUGCAAUUCACCAGCAGGGAGUUUAAUAAAGGUGCAGAAAGAGAGGGGUCAAAAGGAUUCAUGGAUGCAACCCCGUCAUGA